UACGGAGGGUGCAAGCGUUAUCCGGAUUUACUGGGUUUAAAGGGUGCGUAGGCGGCAGUAUAAGUCAGUGGUGAAAUCUUCCGGCUUAACCGGGAAAAUGCCAUUGAAACUGUGCAGCUUGAAUACAGUUGAAGUGAGUGGAAUAUAUCAUGUAGCGGUGAAAUGCUUAGAUAUGAUGUAGAACACCGAUUGCGAAGGCAGCUCACUAAGCUGGUAAUUGACGCUGAGGCACGAAAGCGUGGGGAGCGAACAGG
rnacentral:rRNA from 1 species